GGAGGUUCUGUGGCUCAGUGGAAGAGCAUCCACUCGGCGUGCAGAAGGUCCCAGGUUCAAUUCCCAGCACCUCUA
rnacentral:tRNA from 1 species